GGAGCCCGGGAGAGCUCAGCGCCGGUAUAUUGAGUGUCAGUCCUGCUGGUUCGCGCCAACUUGGGGCUUGGCACUGCGCUGGGCGCUGGGGAAGUGGGGACCUGCAGGAGCUGGCAGUCGGGAGGCGGGGGAUGCCUCCGGGAGGCCAAUCCAAGAGGAGGCAGCCAAGGCCCGGAGCCUGCCUGGUCUUGGGAGAGACCCAUUUUCGAUCUUUGGAAGCCGUCUUUGCUGUACCCUGGGUGCCUAGUAUCUGGCACCGAGCGGACAUCGGAUGAAUGAUGGUUUUUCAGACUAUGAAGACAUGCUGAGAAGGGUCAGAAUUGUGGACCAGGAUACAUAUUUUUUUCCUGAAAUCUGAAGGCAACAGCCAGCAGCACAGUUGUUCUGGACUAUUCUUCACCGAGGAGUUAAGGAUCUGGAGCUGCAGCUGGUGGGAACUCCCUACCAGAGACCAGAGUUUUCAUCUCACUGAAAAUUCAGAAUCAAAAUCAAAAACAGCUGAGGUAGUUACUCGGGUGCCUUCCUUCAGCUUAUUCAAAAGAAUAUAGGAUGAACGUUCUGUGGCUCCACAUGAAGAAGCAGAAAGUUUAUGAGAGGGGGCAGUGCACCAAGAAAGAUUUGGGGAGGCAGGUAUGAUGGAGAAGACUGUCUUCUUGGAGAAGGACAUCAGUGACGGAGGGGCCAGCAUGAUGCCGACUGUGCCCAGAGAAAGCCACGAGCACCCUCUGCGUGGGGUCACCUUGUUGGUGGAUGUAGGCACACAUGGAACCAGCCAGAGCAGCAACAUGAGAAAAACCUCUCCACGCAACCAGCCAGUGACCAGUUAGCUACCUUCCUCCUCCCAGAGGUGUUAGUCCUUCCAAGGGGGAAGGGGCAUCCCGAACCAUGUCUCCUCCCCCUCUUGCCUUACUCCCAUUUAGAAGGAAGGACAUUAAGUAGAGUUCCCUGUGCUAUACGGUAUGUUCUCAUUAGUAACCUAUUUUAUGCAUAGU